UAAUACAUGCAAGUCGAGCGAACAGAUAAGGAGCUUGCUCCUUUGACGUUAGCGGCGGACGGGUGAGUAACACGUGGAUAACCUACCUAUAAGACUGGGAUAACUUCGGGAAACCGGAGCUAAUACCGGAUAACAUAUUGAACCGCAUGGUUCAAUAGUGAAAGGCGGCUUUGCUGUCACUUAUAGAUGGAUCCGCGCCGUAUUAGCUAGUUGGUAAGGUAACGGCUUACCAAGGCAACGAUACGUAGCCGACCUGAGAGGGUGAUCGGCCACACUGGAACUGAGACACGGUCCAGACUCCUACGGGAGGCAGCAGUAGGGAAUCUUCCGCAAUGGGCGAAAGCCUGACGGAGCAACGCCGCGUGAGUGAUGAAGGUCUUCGGAUCGUAAAACUCUGUUAUCAGGGAAGAACAAAUGUGUAAGUAACUGUGCACAUCUUGACGGUACCUGAUCAGAAAGCCACGGCUAACUACGUGCCAGCAGCCGCGGUAAUACGUAGGUGGCAAGCGUUAUCCGGAAUUAUUGGGCGUAAAGCGCGCGUAGGCGGUUUUUUAAGUCUGAUGUGAAAGCCCACGGCUCAACCGUGGAGGGUCAUUGGAAACUGGAAAACUUGAGUGCAGAAGAGGAAAGUGGAAUUCCAUGUGUAGCGGUGAAAUGCGCAGAGAUAUGGAGGAACACCAGUGGCGAAGGCGACUUUCUGGUCUGUAACUGACGCUGAUGUGCGAAAGCGUGGGGAUCAAACAGGAUUAGAUACCCUGGUAGUCCACGCCGUAAACGAUGAGUGCUAAGUGUUAGGGGGUUUCCGCCCCUUAGUGCUGCAGCUAACGCAUUAAGCACUCCGCCCUGGGGGAGUACGACCGCAAGGUUGAAACUCAAAGGAAUUGACGGGGACCCGCACAAGCGGUGGGAGCAUGUGGUUUAAUUUCGAAGCAACGCGAAGAACCUUACCAAAUCUUG
rnacentral:rRNA from 1 species